CCUACGGGUGGCUGCAGUGAGGAAUAUUGGUCAAUGGACGAGAGUCUGAACCAGCCAAGUAGCGUGAAGGAUGACUGCCCUAUGGGUUGUAAACUUCUUUUAUAUGGGAAUAAAACGUUCCACGUGUGGGAUUUUGUAUGUACCAUAUGAAUAAGGAUCGGCUAACUCCGUGCCAGCAGCCGCGGUAAUACGGAGGAUCCGAGCGUUAUCCGGAUUUAUUGGGUUUAAAGGGAGCGUAGGUGGAUUGUUAAGUCAGUUGUGAAAGUUUGCGGCUCAACCGUAAAAUUGCAGUUGAAACUGGCAGUCUUGAGUACAGUAGAGGUGUGCGGAAUUCGUGGUGUAGCGGUGAACUGCUUAGAUAUCACGAAGAACUCCGAUUGCGAAGGCAGUUCACUGGACUGCAACUGAAACUGAGGCUCGAAAGUGUGGGUAUCAAACAGGAUUAGAUACCCCUGUAGUC
rnacentral:rRNA from 1 species